rnacentral:rRNA from 1 species
CCUACGGGUGGCAGCAGUGAGGAAUAUUGGUCAAUGGGCGCGAGCCUGAACCAGCCAAGUAGCGUGAAGGAUGACUGCCCUACGGGUUGUAAACUUCUUUUAUAAAGGAAUACAGUGAGGCACGCGUGCCUUUUUGUAUGUACUUUAUGAAUAAGCAUCGGCUAACUCCGUGCCAGCAGCCGCGGUAAUACGGAGGAUCCGAGCGUUAUCCGGAUUUAUUGGGUUUAAAGGGGGCGUAGCUGGGUUGUUACGUCCGUUGUGAAAGUUUGCGACUCAACCGUAAAAUUGCAAUUGAUACUGGCAGUCUAGAGUAGAGUUGAGGUAGGCGGAAUGCGUGGUGUAGCGGUGAAAUGCUUAGAUAUCGCGAAGAACUCCGAUUGCGAAGGCAGCUUACUAAACUGCCACUGACGUUGAUGCUCGAAAGUGUGGGUAUCAAACAGGAUUAGAUACCCCGGUAGUC